GGGGAAUCUUGCACAAUGGGCGAAAGCCUGAUGCAGCAACGCCGCGUGCGGGAAGAAGGCCUUCGGGUUGUAAACCGCUUUCAGAAGGAACGAAACUGACGGUACUUUCAGAAGAAGGUGCGGCCAACUACGUGCCAGCAGCCGCGGUGACACGUAGGCACCAAGCGUUGUCCGGAUUUAUUGGGCGUAAAGAGCUCGUAGGCGGCUCAGUAAGUCGGUUGUGAAAACUUUGGGCUUAACCCAAAGCGUGCAUCCGAUACUGCUGUGACUUGAGUUCGGUAGGGGAGUGGGGAAUUCCUAGUGUAGCGGUGAAAUGCGCAGAUAUUAGGAGGAACACCGGUGGCGAAGGCGCCACUCUGGGCCGAAACUGACGCUGAGGAGCGAAAGCAUGGGUAGCAAAC
rnacentral:rRNA from 1 species